CCACGGGAGGCUGCAGUGGGGAAUAUUGCACAAUGGGCGCAAGCCUGAUGCAGCCAUGCCGCGUGUAUGAAGAAGGCCUUCGGGUUGUAAAGUACUUUCAGCGGGGAGGAAGGGAGUAAAGUUAAUACCUUUGCUCAUUGACGUUACCCGCAGAAGAAGCACCGGCUAACUCCGUGCCAGCGAGCCGCGGUAAUACGGAGGGUGCAAGCGUUAUCGGAAUUACGGGCGUAAAGCGCACGCAGGCGGUUUGUUAAGUCAGAUGGGAAAUCCCCGGGCUCAACCUGGGAACUGCAUCUGAUACUGGCAAGCUUGAGGCUCGUAGAGGGGGGUAGAAUUCCAGGUGUAGCGGUGAAAUGCGUAGAGAUCUGGAGGAAUACCGGUGGCGAAGGCGGCCCCCUGGACGAAGACUGACGCUCAGGUGCGAAAGCGUGGGGAGCAAACAGGAUUAGAUACCCCAGUAGUC
rnacentral:rRNA from 1 species